rnacentral:tRNA from 2 species
GUUAACGUAGCUUAACUAAAAAGCAUAACACUGAAGAUGUUAAGAUGGUCCCUAGAAAGUCCCGUAAACA